CCUACGGGUGGCAGCAGUGAGGAAUAUUGGUCAAUGGACGAGAGCCUGAACCAGCCAAGUAGCGUGAAGGAUGACUGCCCUAUGGGUUGUAAACUUCUUUUAUAUGGGAAUAAAACAGGGUAUGCAUACCCUCUUGUAUGUACCAUAUGAAUAAGGAUCGGCUAACUCCGUGCAAGCAGCCGCGGUAAUACGGAGGAUCCGAGCGUUAUCCGGAUUUAUUGGGUGUAAAGGGAGCGUAGGUGGAUUGGUAAGUCAGUUGUCAAAGUUUGCGGCUCAACCGUCAAAAUGCAGUUGAAACUGGCAGUCGUGAGUACAGUAGAGGUGAGCGGAAUUCGUGGUGUAGCGGGGAAAUGCGUAGAUAUCACGAAGAACUCCGGUUGCGAAGGCAGCUCACUGGACUGCAACUGACGCUGAUGCUCGAAAGUGUGGGGAGCAAACAGGAUUAGAUACCCCUGUAGUC
rnacentral:rRNA from 1 species